GAUGAACGCUGGCGGCGUGCUUAACACAUGCAAGUCGAACGAUGAAGCCCAGCUUGCUGGGUGGACUAGUGGCGAACGGGUGAGUAACACGUGAGUAACCUGCCCUUGACUCUGGGAUAAGCCUGGAAAACUGGGUCUAUUACUGGAUAUGACUUCUCAUCGCAUGGUGUGGGGUGUAAAGAUUUGUUGGUCUUGGAUGGACUCGCGGCUUAUCAGCUUGUUGGUGGGGUAGUGGCUCACCAAGGCGACGACGGGUAGCCGGCCUGAGAGGGUGACCGGCCACACUGGGACUGAGAUACGGCCCAGACUCCUACGGGAGGCAGCAGUGGGGAAUAUUGCACAAUGGGCGGAAGCCUGAUGCAGCGACGCCGCGUGAGGGAUGACGGCCUUCGGGUUGUAAACCGCUUUCAGUAGGGAAGAAGCGAGAGUGACGGUACCUGCAGAAGAAGCGCCGGCUAACUACGUG
rnacentral:rRNA from 1 species